GAAAACUUUGGUAUAACUUUUCGCUGUUCUAUCUUGCUCAUUGCUUAUAUUUGUGGUAUGUACGCAUCUAUAAUUGCUAUUUGCUUUACAAAAUUAAUAUUCCUUCUUUUGUUUUUACAUUUUAUAUUACAAAAUGAGGAGAACUUUGUGAUUUUCCCCCUUAUGUUUAAGUUUUGUUAAGCUGGGUUAUUCACAAUUAUCAAAAAAAAAUAAUACAUACACAUAAACACUUAUAUAUACAUUCUUGGAUGUGAAUUUGUUCGACAAAAACUUGAUUAUCAUUGAAAUGUUUUCUCUUUAUAUAUGAAUUAAUAAGAAUAUUAUUUCGGUAACACUCACAUAUAUAUAAAAGAUUUAUAAGAAUAUUGAUUUUUCAGGCGUGUUUGUGAUGACACAAGUUUUCUCAGCAAAUGCUCAAAAUGUAUGUACCCAACGUGUUGAUGGUAUGACUCCUUGUUCGGUAGAAUUACCACUUUGCCAACAACAUUGCCACAAAUUUUUUGGACCACUUUAUGUUAAUUCAGAGUGUGAGGAUCAAGGCCUAGGGCAUACUACUUGUGUGUGUUACUACAAUAGUAACUUCCCUUGUAAACUUAAUUAGUUCUGUUUUUUUUUUUUAAUCAAGAAAAUAAGAUUAAU
rnacentral:lncRNA from 1 species